rnacentral:rRNA from 1 species
ACAAGUAGUCAGAGCCCGUUAAUGGGUGAUGGCGUGCCUUUUGUAGAAUGAACCGGCGAGUUACGAUUUGAUGCAAGGUUAAGCAGUAAAUGUGGAGCCGUAGCGAAAGCGAGUCUGAAUAGGGCGUUUAGUAUUUGGUCGUAGACCCGAAACCAGGUGAUCUACCCUUGGUCAGGUUGAAGUUCAGGUAACACUGAAUGGAGGACCGAACCGACUUACGUUGAAAAGUGAGCGGAUGAACUGAGGGUAGCGGAGAAAUUCCAAUCGAACCUGGAGAUAGCUGGUUCUCUCCGAAAUAGCUUUAGGGCUAGCCUCAAGUGAUGAUUAUUGGAGGUAGAGCACUGUUUGGACGAGGGGCCCCUCUCGGGUUACCGAAUUCAGACAAACUCCGAAUGCCAAUUAAUUUAACUUGGGAGUCAGAACAUGGGUGAUAAGGUCCGUGUUCGAAAGGGAAACAGCCCAGACCACCAGCUAAGGUCCCAAAAUAUAUGUUAAGUGGAAAAGGAUGUGGCGUUGCCCAGACAACUAGGAUGU